CGCUUGAACCCAGGAGAUGGAGGUUGCAGAGUGAAAAUAAUAAUAAUAAUAAUAAUAAUAAUAAUAAUAAUAAAAGUGCUGCUAGAUUGCUUUUAAACAAGCCCUGCCUCCUAUUAAAAUGCUGUUGCUAAGACUUUCCACUAUUAUCCCAAAGUAAAAUUUCCAUAAUAGUAACAGUAAUAUUCAAGACAGGCAAACAUGGUGGAGGGCAGGUUCCCACGGAUGGCAGCUUAAGGGAAAUGUCAAGGAGAGGACAGACACAGCUAAUGAGGAGACUGUCUCGUGGCAUGUGACUUAACCACAUUCUCUUGUCUCCUAGAAAUCUAGAAUGAAAUCUCUGCUGCCUGCUACAGCCUGUGGCUUUGGAUUUCCUCGAGGCCCCAGAGCAUCAGGUAAUAUCUUGGAGCCACUUUUCAUGUUUCAGCUCACUGGUUCCCAGCUCACUGGUGAGAGAAGGGCUAUUAGCCAUCCCCUUUCAUAGAUGAGGAAACGAAGGCCCUGCUCCCCUCCCCCCAACACACACUCUUAUCUCUAGGCUGUACCAGCUUCCUGAGUGGUAAUAAAGUGGUGAGUUCCAUUUCUGGGGGGUGCAAUAGGGAAGCAGUAACUUCCUAGGGAGUCUCACCUUGUAGGAGGAAAUACUUUCAUAACACACGGGAGAGGAAACUGAGGCACAGAGGAAUUACAAGUCACUCACCUCAGCCACGCUCACAAGAAGGGGAGGCAGCCCGGGUCCGGAGGCAGGAGGAGCACCACUCGUCACCCCCUCGUGUCCCCCUGCAGAAGUCACUUGGUCAUUUUACCGAAUUGCAGGACAUCCAUUUCACUCAGGAUUCGAAGUGAGUGCUCGCCACCUUUCAAAGUGUGAGACCAUUUGCAGCCCCUUUUGACCUCCGCCUUCUGCUUGUGAGUCGGGCACUGCUGGUUUCAUCCCACAACCGGGAACACUGGGAAGCUGGGGUACAUGAUGUCCAUAUGCCGCGGGCUCCAUCCACGCUCUCCGCAUUUCUUUCCACAGAGGAAGUUUUCCAAAUGGCACUCUGCGUAGGAAGGAGCUUGUGCACGUGCGCACUACCACCGUCUGCCCUCAGCACUGAUUCAUGGGACGCUUCUCAACUGUAGCCCACAGUGUGAUGACUGAACGUGUCCCCUCACAUUUCCAGAUGGGGGGGUGCAGGAGGCACUGCUCACUGUUGCACCCCCUGACCCACGCUGCCAGUCCUGCCAUCAAUGCUGGGUGUUCACCUGGACCCUGGAAAGGUCUAGCUGAGCCUUUUAGGGCAUGAGGAUGUUGGGUCUCACUUUGUCACUCAGGCUGGAGCACGGUGGUAUGACAGAUGCCUAGCCUUAAUCUCCUGGGCUCAAGCAAUCCUCCCACCUCGACCCCCCAAAGUGCUGAGAUUACAGGCACACUCAGCCAUGUCUUAUCAUUCUUAAAGACUGAUUAAAGGGAGAUGAAGAAACUGGAAGCAGACAGAAGAACGUGGAGGAGCCUGUGGCUCUAACCGGAGCAGGAAGCAGAAGCAGCACGAACGGAGUUGCCUGUGGAAGCAGAGAGUGAGAGAGAUCCUGUGCAGAGACACCCGUCGAGUCUGUGCCUGCUGGACAGUGGGAGCUACAGAGAGGCAGGAGCAGGCAACGGCGUGGAGCCACGAGCCUGGCCAGCAGGAAAGUGGAUUGGAAAGUGUUCCUAAAGGACACAGCCAGAAGGCAGCCGUCUACCAGCCAGAGAGAGAGCCCUCACCAGAAACUGACCAUGCUGACGCCCUCAUCUUUCACUUCCGGCCUCCAGAACUCUGAGAAAAUGAAUUUCCGUUGUAUCCUGAGUUCUAGCAGAACAGCUGACAUCAACCAGUGCGAAAACCUUUACAGAAGAACUACAUCAGCAUGAGAAUAAGUUUCUUCAUCUCCCCUUCCCAUGACUUUACCCUGAAUUCAUCAAUCAAUCAAUGAUCCCCACACCUCAGCCCACUCCAAACCCCUUAACAUCCCUAGCCCCAAACUCCUCAGGGAGGUGGAUGUGCAGUUUCCUCCCAUCUCAUUAGGCUGCCCUAUAAUUAUUUAAUUUGUUCUCUGCUGCUCCCUGGUGUCUCAGCAUACUGACUUGUUGUGCAUUGGGCAGAUGAGUCUAUUACAAGAGUCCCACCAACUACUGUAGUAUUUAUGACAACAGAUCACCUUGGAAUUUCAAAAUACUGGGAAAAGUGAGAAAACUCUAAACCUUCUGGAGAGAAAACCAGAGCCACAUAAAGGAGCAGUGUAUUAGUCCAUUCUUACACUGUUAAUAAAGACAUACCCAAGACUGGGUAAUUUAUUAAAGAAAAGACAUUUAAUGGAC